CGAUAGCGGACAAGUACCGUGAGGGAAAGGUGAAAAGUACCCCGGGAGGGGAGUGAAAUAGUACCUGAAACCGUUUGCUUACAAACCGUCGGAGCUCCCAUGUUGGGGUGACGGCGUGCCUUUUGAAGAAUGAGCCUGCGAGUUAGUGCUCUGUGGCGAGGUUAACCCGUGUGGGGAAGCCGUAGCGAAAGCGAGUCCGAAUAGGGCGAUUCAGUCGCAGGGUCUAGACCCGAAGCGAAGUGAUCUAUCCAUGGCCAGGUUGAAGCGACGGUAAGACGUCGUGGAGGACCGAACCCACUUCAGUUGAAAAUGGAGGGGAUGAGCUGUGGAUAGGGGUGAAAGGCCAAUCAAACUCCGUGAUAGCUGGUUCUCUCCGAAAUGCAUUUAGGUGCAGCGUUGCGUGU
rnacentral:rRNA from 11 species